AUGUACUGGUCUUCAAUAAGCAAACUUUCUAACCCCCUCCCAGUCAAGCGAAAUAAAUCUAGUAAUAAGAAUAAUCAAUUGGAUUCUAAGUUUAUAUAACAGAUGUAUCACAUAUUUUAUCAAAUAUCGAUGAACAACGACAUGACAGAAUGUUUCAUAAAACUGAAAAGAACAUUAAUAAGUUAUAGCUCUAGAAUGUGCCGAAUUUAGACAAAAUGUGCUUUAGUAACUACUAAAUGAAGAGUGGAACAUAGAAAAAAAAAAACAAAGUUGAUACUCUUAAAAUCAUUUGAUUAAAAUAAUAUAAUAUUAUUAUAUACAUGUAAACAAACAGGGAUGUCAUGGGCUACACACGGAA
rnacentral:lncRNA from 1 species